GAUAGUUGCCAUCAUUUGGUUGGGCACUUUAUCGAGACUGCCGGUGACAAACCGGAGGAAGGUGGGGAUGACGUCAAAUCAUCAUGCCCCUUAUGUCUUGGGCUUCACGCAUGCUACAAUGGCCGGUACAAAGGGCUGCAAUACCGUAAGGUGGAGCGAAUCCCAAAAAGCCGGUCUCAGUUCGGAUUGGGGUCUGCAACUCGACCCCAUGAAGUCGGAAUCGCUAGUAAUCGCGUAACAGCAUGACGCGGUGAAUACGUUCCCGGGCCUUGUACACACCGCCCGUCACACCAUGGGAGUGGGUUGCUCCAGAAGUGGUUAGCCUAACCUUCGGGAGGGCGAUCACCACGGAGUGAUUCAUGACUGGGGUGAAGUCGUAACAAGGUAGCCCUAGGGGAACCUGGGGCUGGAUCACCUCCUU
rnacentral:rRNA from 1 species